ACUACUUACUACACAUAAAGACCCUCCCUACGGAACCAUUGGCAUUACUGUUGGGGUUGUUGCACUUAUCGGCUGCUGCUGCUGCUGCGUGCAGUGCUGCAAAGUCUUGGCAUCUUCUGUUAAGACCGUCUCUGAACCAGCUGUGGCUCCUCCGGAGUAUAGCUAUGAGCCUGCUGCACCAUGGCAGCCCAGUCAGCCUUGGCUGCCACCGUACCCAGUGCCUGCUUAUACUCACAGCAACCCGCUGGUACAGAACCCACCGGCCGUGAACGCUGCUAAUGCUGAGGUUCCAGCUCCAACUGUCCUCAGCCUCAGUGACGACGAGCCGCGGUUCGAGCUGAAGGGGAUGCGCUUCCCCUUGUCGCUUCCUCUCAGUUCAGACUCAACUUACCAACAUGUUUAUACCUCAGACAAACUCAACUUCAAAUGGAAGCCUUCAUUCACAAGCAAUAUAUAAAUAAGAAAUGUGCCUUACUCAUUUUAGAUGCUAAACAACCUAGGAGCCUAUCACUGUGGCAAGCAGGGCUUAUACACAACGUUUACAGGAUGUGAAUGUGAUUUACAGUCACAGUUUGCCCACAGUGUUCAAUGAAAACCACCAUCUGCCUUUUCCCCCUGCCGCUUUCAACUGGAAGCGGCAUCACCUCUGAACCGAGCGGUUUGAAUGUGUCAGUCAGCAGUAACCACACACUUGAAACAAUUUUAAGGCUUUAAAAUUUCUUCAGUUCAAUAGACUUGUUCAAGUUGUAUACUGUAUUUUGAAUGAAUGUCUGUUACAUACAUCUUUGGUUAUAUACAUUUAAAAUUGUGUAUUGUAUUUUUUUAAGCCAUACAAACUGUAUUUGUA